CCUACGGGAGGCAGCAGUGGGGAAUAUUGGGCAAUGGGCGCAAGCCUGACCCAGCAACGCCGCGUGAAGGAAGAAGGCCCUCGGGUUGUAAACUUCUUUUGUCAGGGACGAAACAAAUGACGGUACCUGACGAAUAAGCCACGGCUAACUACGUGCCAGCAGCCGCGGUAAUACGUAGGUGGCAAGCGUUAUCCGGAUUUACUGGGUGUAAAGGGCGUGUAGGCGGGAGAGCAAGUCAGAUGUGAAAUUCCAGGGCUCAACCCUGGAACUGCAUUUGAAACUGUUGUUCUUGAGUGAUGGACAGGCAGGCACAAUUCCGUGUGUCGCGGUGAAAUGCGUAGAUCUACGG
rnacentral:rRNA from 1 species